GACGGAGGAUGCAAGUGUUAUCCGGAAUCACUGGGCGUAAAGCGUCUGUAGGUGGUUUAAAAAGUCCACUGUUAAAGAUUGAAGCUUAACUUCAAAAAUGCCGUGGAAACUUUUAAAACUUGAGUAUGAUAGGGGUAGAGGGAAUUUCCAGUGGAGCGGUGAAAUGCGUAGAUAUUGGAAAGACCACCAAUGGCGAAGGCACUCGUACUGGGCCAUUACUGACACUGAGAGAGAAAGCUAGGGGAGCAAAUGGGA
rnacentral:rRNA from 1 species